rnacentral:rRNA from 1 species
AUGCAAGUCGAACGCGAAAGUGGAGCAAUCCAUGAGUAGAGUGGCAAACGGGUGAGUAACACGUGGGUGACCUGCCUUCGAGCGGGGGAUAACGUCCCGAAAGGGACGCUAAUACCGCAUAACAUCCUGCCUUUUAAGAGGUGGAGAUCAAAGCCGGGGAUUCGCAAGAACCUGGCACUUGAAGAGGGGCCCGCGCCUGAUUAGCUAGUUGGUGGGGUAAUGGCCUACCAAGGCAACGAUCAGUAUCCGGCCUGAGAGGGCGGACGGACACACUGGGACUGAGACACGGCCCAGACUCCUACGGGAGGCAGCAGUGGGGAAUUGUUCGCAAUGGGCGCAAGCCUGACGACGCAACGCCGCGUGGAGGAUGAAGACCUUCGGGUCGUAAACUCCUUUCGAUCGAGACGAAUGUUUUUCGGGUGAACAAUCCGGAAAAGUGACGGUACCGAGAGAAGAAGCCCCGGCUAACUCUGUGCCAGCAGCCGCGGUAAUACAGGGGGGGCAAGCGUUGUUCGGAAUUACUGGGCGUAAAGGGCUCGUAGGUGGCCAACUAAGUCAGACGUGAAAUCCCUCAGCUUAACUGGGGAACUGCGUCUGAUACUGGAUGGCUUGAGUUUGGGAGAGGGAUGCGGAAUUCCAGGUGUAGCGGUGAAAUGCGUAGAUAUCUGGAGGA